rnacentral:lncRNA from 1 species
CAAGUGCUGGCGGCCUCGGCCAAUGGCGGAAGAGAGGCCGGGGCCGGCGGCCGCGUGGGUUUUAAAUCCACGUGGUGGCGGGGGACGGAGGGCGGGGCGCUCAAGAAUGGGGAGCGGGUGGAGGCUGCGGAGCGGCUCUGGGGCUUGGUUCUGCUAGGAAAGACGGCCUUGCAGAGCCUGUUUAUAUCAGUAGGGUUUCUGAGGUCCAGGGGACUCGGCGGGCGCUACCCGAGCGUGUGCCGGGCGGUCUUGCUAGGAGAGGGCAGGACACGCGAGAGCAGGGGUAACCGCACGCGUGCCCUCUGUAACCACCGGCGGACGGCUCAGUCACCCCCCCUCUGUCUGCCUCCUCCGCCACAUCGGAGCUCCCACUCGUCUCUUCCACGGUGGGGGCGGGGUCCCUGGGCCUCUUGGAAGGUGUGACAUUCGAGCCCAGCCAGCUGCCUUCCACAUAACAACGGGCUGUCCCCACUCGACUUUAUUUCUCACUGUACUGGGACAUAGACAAAGUGCAAGCUACAGUGGGGUCUCAUGGAGAACUGCCUAUGUAACCGCCAGCCAGAUUAAGGUAGGGAAUAUUCCUACUGGUGUAGCAAGUUCCCAGGUAUUACAACCCCACUGCUGCUGCAGAGGUAAGCACAAUUCUGACUUUGUUACUGUAGAUUUGUGUUGCCUCUUAAACGUCACGGAAAUGCAACCCUACCGUAUAUGUUCUUCUGGAUCUGCCUUUUCUCCUCACUACUGAAUUUGAGCGAAUGGGGCCUAUUGCUAGAUCCCUGGCCUAUUUUGAAUUUUAUUUUGAGACAGGUUCCCCCUAAAUUCAGGCUGGCCUUGAACUCACAGUCAUCCUGCUUCAGCUUCAGGCCGCUGUGAUUCCACACGUGUAGCACCAUGCCCAGCCUGGUGGCGUUCCUU